CCUCCUUAAGAAAAGUACGAGUGUUCACACAAGUUGUUUGAUAAUAUUAAAGUAAGAGAAAAAAGACCAUUACCCCAAUUCAAUGUAAUUGAUAUUAAGGGUCUGUAGCUCAGUUGGUUAGAGCGCACCCCUGAUAAGGGUGAGGUCGGUGGUUCAAAUCCACCCAGACCCACCAUUUUUCUGGGUUAUUAGUUUUCUAUUGGGGCUAUAGCUCAGCUGGGAGAGCGCCUGGUUUGCAUCCAGGAGGUCAGCAGUUCGAUCCUGCUUAGCUCCACCAUUUUCUCUAGUGAAAACUUAAAUAAGAAUUACUUGUAAGUCUUAUUUAAGUUUUUAUACCAAGCCUUGGUAAUAACCUUGGUUCGGAGCUCUUUAACAAUUUGGAUAUGAAGUAAAGUUUGUUAAAUACAAUACAACGUAAGGUGUAUUGCAUUGACACAACAAUUUCAAAAAAUAUGGAUU
rnacentral:tRNA from 1 species